UGUUGCCUCUCUGGGAUUUAUUUGGUCGAUGGUUGUUGCCAUCAUUCCGUAUGACAUCAUCUUCAACUGGACAAGCUUGUAUUUCUAUUGAUUGAGCAACAAGACCAUCUAGAGCGGGGUCGGCUGUGUCUUCCAACGGAACUAGAUCGACGAAGUACGGCUGCAAUUCUUUUGCAGCAGUUGCUCGCAGCAUUGCCCACAAGUGCAACUA
rnacentral:lncRNA from 1 species